GAAUAAUUUAGAUAAAAUAAACUCCACCUAAACCCAGAAAAAAAAAAAAGAAAGAAAGAAGGAAAAAAGACAGCAACCAGAUAGAAGAUAAUUUUUUAAUGUAAACAAAUUUCAGUUAGCCUUUGACUUAACAUUUUCAAGCAAGAACUUACAGCUGGACUCCUGAAUCCAGUUUUAAAGAGGUCAUGCAGAUGGACCAGAAGCUAGAUGACAUCCUGACCGCGCUCCAGGCUCAGUUUGGGGAUCAGCCACAGGCACAGAUGUCAGGGCAGCCGCUCCACCUGUCAGACAGCUACAGACAGCCUCAGAUUCCUCCCCACUGAACCGGAAAAUUUAAGAGCCGGAGGACAGCCACAUGCCACCCCCUCAUUCUUUUACAUCUGGUU
rnacentral:lncRNA from 1 species